rnacentral:pre_miRNA from 9 species
UCUCGAUAGCGUGUAAGUUAACUUAAAUUUGUAUGCAGUUGAACGUUUGCUUACGUUUGCCGCUAGGGGCGCUGUUCCAACCGCAUACAAAUUGAAGUUAACUUUUACGCUAUCGA